rnacentral:rRNA from 1 species
UACGGAGGGUGCAAGCGUUAAUCGGAAUUACUGGGCGUAAAGCGUGCGUAGGUGGUUCGUUAAGUCCGUUGUGAAAGCCCCGAGCUCAACUUGGGAAUUGCAGUGGAUACUGGCGAGCUGGAGUGCGGUAGAGGAAGGUGGAAUUCCCGGUGUAGCGGUGAAAUGCGUAGAGAUCGGGAGGAACACCAGUGGCGAAGGCGGCCUUCUGGACCAGCACUGACGCUGAGGCGCGAAAGCUAGGGGAGCAAACAGG